UACGUAGUGUGCGAGCGUUAAUCGGAAUUACUGGGCGUAAAGCGUGCGCAGGCGGAUUGUUAAGCAAGAUGUGAAAUCCCCGGGCUUAACCUGGGAAUGGCAUUUUGAACUGGCAGUCUAGAGUGUGUCAGAGGGGGGUGGAAUUCCACGUGUAGCAGUGAAAUGCGUAGAUAUGUGGAGGAACACCAAUGGCGAAGGCAGCCCCCUGGGAUAACACUGAAGCGCAUGUAAGCAAGCGGGGGUAGCACACAGGAGGCGAUAACCCGGUAGUCC
rnacentral:rRNA from 1 species